rnacentral:piRNA from 3 species
UGUGUUGUUUAUUCUAAGAUGAGGGC